rnacentral:rRNA from 1 species
CACGUAGGGGCCAAGCGUUGUCCGGAUUUAUUGGGCGUAAAGAGCUCGUAGGCGGUUGGGUAAGUCGGGUGUGAAAACUCCAGGCUCAACUUGGAGACGCCACCCGAUACUGCUCUGACUUGAGUUCGGUAGGGGAGUGGGGAAUUCCUGGUGUAGCGGUGAAAUGCGCAGAUAUCAGGAAGAACACCCGUGGCGAAGGCGGUUCUCUGGGACGGUACUGACGCUGAGACGCGAAAGCGUGGGGAGCGAACAGG